GGAAGCGCGACCGGGAGGGCGCGUGGAGCGCAGGGAAGCGAGAAUGCCGGCGUGAGUAGCGAGAAGGUCGGUGAGAAUCCGACCCGCCGAAAGCCCAAGGGUUCCUGAGGAAGGCUCGUCCGCUCAGGGUAAGUCGGGACCUAAGGCGAGGCCGCGAGGCGUAGCUGAUGGGAAACGGGUGGAGAAUCCCGUACCGCUCCCGGCCGUUUGAGCGACGGGGGGACGCAGGGGGUCCGAAGGCGCGCGCGGGAUGGAAGAGCGCGUCCAAGCGGCGAGGGUGGUGCGCAGGCAAAUCCGCGCGCCGGAAGCCUGAGCCGUGACGGGGAGGGAAGACGAGUACCGAAGGCCUUCCGGAUCGCACUGCCGAGAAAAGCCUCUAGCGAGGCCUGGGAGCGCCCGUACCGGAAACCGACACAGGUGGGCGAGGAGAGGAUCCUCAGGCGCGCGAGCGAACUCCUGCUAAGGAACUCGGCAAAAUGGCCCCGUAACUUCGGGAGAAGGGGCGCCUGUCUUGGAAGGCAGGCCGCAGAGAAGUGGCCCAGGCGACUGUUUAGCAAAAACACAGGUCUCUGCGAAGCCGUAAGGCGACGUAUAGGGGCUGACGCCUGCCCGGUGCUGGAAGGUUAAGGGGAAGGGUUAGGGUNAGCGAAAUUCCUUGUCGGGUAAGUUCCGACCCGCACGAAAGGCGUAACGACCUGGGCGCUGUCUCGGCAGGAGGCUCGGUGAAAUCGUAGUCCCUGUGAAGAUGCAGGGUACCCGCGACUAGACGGAAAGACCCCGUGGAGCUUUACUGCAGCCUGAUAUUGUGGUUUGCCGCCUUCUGUACAGGAUAGGUGGGAGCCUGGGAAGCGUCCUCGUCAGGGGGCGCGGAGGCGGCGGUGGGAUACCACCCUGGAGGCGGCGGACGACUCACCCGCGGCCGUGAGCCGGUCGGGGGACCGUGUCAGGCGGGCAGUUUGACUGGGGCGGUCGCCUCCUAAAGGGUAACGGAGGCGCCCAAAGGUCCCCUCAGCGCGGAUGGAAAUCGCGCGGAGCGUGAAAAGGCGAGAAGGGGGCUUGACUGCGAGACCGACGGGUCGAGCAGGGACGAAAGUCGGGCUUAGUGAUCCGGUGGUACCGAGUGGAAGGGCCAUCGCUCAACGGAUAAAAGCUACCCCGGGGAUAACAGGCUGAUCUCCCCCAAGAGUCCACAUCGACGGGGAGGUUUGGCACCUCGAUGUCGGCUCAUCGCAUCCUGGGGCUGGAGCCGGUCCCAAGGGUUGGGCUGUUCGCCCAUUAAAGCGGUACGUGAGCUGGGUUCAGAACGUCGUGAGACAGUUCGGUCCCUAUCUGUCGCGGGCGGAGGAAAUUUGAGGGGAGUCGUCCCCAGUACGAGAGGACCGGGACGGACGCACCGCUGGUGUACCAGUUGUGCCGCCAGGCGCACCGCUGGGUAGCCAAGUGCGGACGGGAUAAGCGCUGAAAGCAUCUAAGCGCGAAGCCCACCCCAAGAUGAGAUUUCCCACCGGCUUGACCGGGUAAGACCCCUCGUAGACGACGAGGUCGAUCGGUCCGAGGUGGAAGCGCGGUAACGCGUGAAGCUGACGGAUCCGAAUCGGUCGAGGCUUUGCCCCC
rfam:Hydrogenibacillus schlegelii strain DSM 2000 scaffold83, whole genome shotgun sequence.